GCAGUCGAGGGGCACAGGAAGAAGCUUGCUUUCUUUGCUGGCGACCGGCGCACGGGUGAGUAACACGUAUCCAACCUGCCCUUUACUCGGGGAUAGCCUUUCGAAAGAAAGAUUAAUACCCGAUAGCAUAAUGAUUCCGCAUGGUUUCAUUAUUAAAGGAUUCCGGUAAAGGAUGGGGAUGCGUUCCAUUAGGUUGUUGGUGAGGUAACGGCUCACCAAGCCUUCGAUGGAUAGGGGUUCUGAGAGGAAGGUCCCCCACAUUGGAACUGAGACACGGUCCAAACUCCUACGGGAGGCAGCAGUGAGGAAUAUUGGUCAAUGGGCGCUAGCCUGAACCAGCCAAGUAGCGUGAAGGAUGAAGGCUCUAUGGGUCGUAAACUUCUUUUAUAUAAGAAUAAAGUGCAGUAUGUAUACUGUUUUGUAUGUAUUAUAUGAAUAAGGAUCGGCUAACUCCGUGCCAGCAGCCGCGGUAAUACGGAGGAUCCGAGCGUUAUCCGGAUUUAUUGGGUUUAAAGGGAGCGUAGGUGGACUGGUAAGUCAGUUGUGAAAGUUUGCGGCUCAACCGUAAAAUUGCAGUUGAUACUGUCAGUCUUGAGUACAGUAGAGGUGGGCGGAAUUCGUGGUGUAGCGGUGAAAUGCUUAGAUAUCACGAAGAACUCCGAUUGCGAAGGCAGCUCACUGGACUGCAACUGACACUGAUGCUCGAAAGUGUGGGUAUCAAACAGGAUUAGAUACCCUGGUAGUCCACACAGUANACGAUGAAUACUCGCUGUUUGCGAUAUACAGUAAGCGGCCAAGCGAAAGCAUUAAGUAUUCCACCUGGGGAGUACGCCGGCNACGGUGAAACUCAAAGGAAUUGACGGGGGCCCGCACAAGCGGANGAACAUGUGGUUUAAUUCGAUGAUACGCGAGGAACCUUACCCGGGCUUAAAUUGCAGUGGAAUGAUGUGGAAACAUGUCAUUGAGCAAUCACCGCUGUGAAAGUGCUGCAUGGUUGUCGUCAGCUCGUGCCGUGAGGUGUCGGCUUAAGUGCCAUAACGAGCGCAACCCUUAUCUUUAGUUACUAACAGGUUAUGCUGAGGACUCUAGAGAGACUGCCGUCGUAAGAUGUGAGGAAGGUGGGGAUGACGUCAAAUCAGCACGGCCCUUACGUCCGGGGCUACACACGUGUUACAAUGGGGGGUACAGAAGGCAGCUAGCGGGUGACCGUAUGCUAAUCCCAAAAUCCUCUCUCAGUUCGGAUCGAAGUCUGCAACCCGACUUCGUGAAGCUGGAUUCGCUAGUAAUCGCGCAUCAGCCACGGCGCGGUGAAUACGUUCCCGGGCCUUGUACACACCGCCCGUCAAGCCAUGGGAGCCGGGGGUACCUGAAGUACGUNACCGCAAG
rnacentral:rRNA from 1 species